UGGGGAAUAUUGCACAAUGGGGGAAACCCUGAUGCAGCGACGCCGCGUGAGCGAAGAAGGUUUUCGAAUCGUAAAGCUCUGUCCUAUGAGAAGAUAAUGACGGUAUCAUAGGAGGAAGCCCCGGCUAAAUACGUGCCAGCAGCCGCGGUAAUACGUAUGGGGCGAGCGUUGUCCGGAAUUAUUGGGCGUAAAGGGUACGUAGGCGGUCUAUUAAGUCAGGUGUGAAAGCGUGAGGCUUAACCUCAUUAAGCACUUGAAACUGAUAGACUUGAGUGAAGGAGAGGAAAGUGGAAUUCCUGGUGUAGCGGUGAAAUGCGUAGAUAUUAGGAGGAAUACCGGUGGCGAAGGCGGCUUUCUGGACUUUUACUGACGCUCAGGUACGAAAGCGUGGGGAGCAAACAGG
rnacentral:rRNA from 1 species